GCUAAGUAAACUAAAUGUUAUAGAGUGAGUUCUAACAAAUUAUGAAAUUUAUUAUUGUGUUUUUUUCAUUUUUGUAAGUGAAAGGUUUAUCUUUGGUGAUGAACUAAAUAAAUAAUUGCACAUACUAUUUUUGCAAAUAAUCACGAAAAUGCAAGAAAUACAAGUAAAUGGAUAUACCUUUUUGGUUAUAAGUGUAUGCCUGAUAAAGUUUUACUAGUUGUAUCUUUUACAUGUGUAUGGUAUAUAAUUUUAUAUACUGUGUUCUUUUUUUAAUAUAUUUUUUUAAUUUUUUUUAUAUAUACUGUGUUCAUUAUACAACAAAAUUGUCUUUCAAAAAUAUGUAGUGAGUAAACAUUUAUAUAAACAAUGUUAAUAAAUGUGGUUACUAUGUAAAAUUCAAAGUUACGUAGUACGUACUAAGUUACAGAAAAUAAUUAUUAUGCAAGAAAUUUUUUAUUUUUUUUUGAGAAAAAGUUUCUUUGUUUUUUCUCCAAAUAAAAACAAAUUAAUAUUUCAAACAAGACAAAAAUAAAGAAUAAAUAAAACAACAAUCAUUACUGUCAAUUAUCACGGGAAAAGAUUAUUAAAAAUGUCCACCAUAGAAAUCUCAUCAUGUUUCUUUUGGUUCUUGCAAGUCUUAAUAAAAUACUCCGUAUGUAGCAAAGUUUUUUGUUCAAAAAAAAAAGUAUGUAGCAAAAUUGACUCUGAAAUAUCAAAAGAAACUUUCGUUCACUAUUAGUCGAAAUCCGAAGAUAUUCCGAAUUCGAACUAGGCAGGGUGGUAGUAAAUCCACUGUUCAGUAUUAAAAACGUUUUUCCAAACUAACCAAAUCAACCAAAAUGAUUUAUCAAAGAAAUAUCAAACAAAAAAUGAUU